UACGUAAGGGGCAAGCGUUGUCCGGAAUCACUGGGCGUAAAGGGCGCGUAGGCGGUUGGAUAAGUCGGGAGUGAAAGCGCUGGGCUCAACCCAGCAAUGGCUCUCGAGACUGUUCAGCUAGAGGAUCCUAGGGGAUGCUGGAAUUCCAGGUGUAGCGGUGAAAUGCGUAGAUAUCUGGGAGAACACCCGUGGCGAAGGCGGGCAUCUGGGGGAUUCCUGACGCUGAGGCGCGAAAGCUAGGGGAGCGAACGGGAUUAGAAACCCCUGUAGUCC
rnacentral:rRNA from 1 species